AGAUUGAACGCUGGCGGCAUGCCUAACACAUGCAAGUCGAACGGGAGUAGCAAUACUCUAGUGGCGGACGGGUGAGGAAUACGUAGGAAUUUGCCCUUAAGUGGGGGAUAACCCGGGGAAACCCGGAUUAAUACCGCAUGACCUCGAAAGAGCAAAGUGGGGGAUCGCAAGACCUCACGCUUUUGGAGAAGCCUACGUCGGAUUUAGCUAGUUGGUGAGGUAAUGGCGUCACCAAGGACGACCGGAUCCGUAACCUGGUCCUGAGAGGAUGAUCAGUCACACCGGAACUGAGACACGGCCGGACUCCUACGGGAGGCAGCAGUGGGGAAGUAUUGGGACAAUGGGCGCAAGCCUGAGUCCAGCAAUGCCGCGUGUGUGAAGAGGCCUUCGGUUAGUAAGACACUUUAACGGUUAGGUAAGAAAAACUACGCGUACUAACACC
rnacentral:rRNA from 1 species